rnacentral:rRNA from 1 species
GAUGAACGCUAGCGGCAGGCCUAAUACAUGCAAGUCGAACGGUGUCUUCGGACAUAGUGGCGCACGGGUGCGUAACACGUAUGCAACCUACCUUACAUUGGGGGGAUAGCCUUUCGAAAGGGAGAUUAAUACCGCAUAAGACAGUAGCUGGGCAUCCAGCAGCUGUUAAAGAUUUAUCGAUGUAAGCUGGGCAUGCGUCCAAUUAGCUAGUUGGUGAGGUAACGGCUCACCAAGGCAAUGAUUGGUAGGGGAACUGAGAGGUCAAUCCCCCACACUGGAACUGAGAUACGGGCCAGACUCCUACGGGGGGCAGCAGUAGGGAAUAUUGGGCAAUGGACGCAAGUCUGACCCAGCCAUGCCGCGUGCAGGAUGGAGGCGUUAUGCGUUGUAAACUGCUUUUAUACAGGAAGAAACGACUCUUGCGAGAGGCAUUGACGGUACUGUAUGAAUAAGCACCGGCUAACUCUGUGCCAGCCGCCGCGGUAAUAC